rnacentral:tRNA from 1 species
GGUAGCGUGGCCGAGCGGUCUAAGGCGCUGGUUUAAGGCACCAGUCUCUAAAGAGGCGUGGCUUGGAAUCCCACCGCUGCCA